UACGUAGGGAGCGAGCGUUAUCCGGAAUUAUUGGGUGUAAAGGGUGCGUAGACGGGUAAAUAAGUUAGUUGUGAAAUCCCUUAGCUUAACUAAGGAACUGCAACUAAAACUGUAUAUCUUGAGUGCAGGAGAGGAGAGCGGAAUUCCUAGUGUAGCGGUGAAAUGCGUAGAUAUUAGGAGGAACACCAGUGGCGAAGGCGGCUCUCUGGACUGUAACUGACGUUGAGGCACGAAAGUGUGGGGAGCAAACAGG
rnacentral:rRNA from 1 species